rnacentral:rRNA from 1 species
AUGGGUGAAAAGGACCAUGGCUUUGGUGACCUCUUCAGUUUAUCCGUAGAGGAUUAUGCCACUGGCGAGUGUGGCGCCAGUUGCCAACCUUCCAGGCCAGGUUGCGAACAAGAAAUUCGCAACUCCGAAGACCCUAUGGUGACGGUUGUGUCAGGGAAAGGCGUAGAGAUGGACUGCAGUUUCGUCAAGGACACAUUUAUGGAUGCUACAGAUUCCAUGGUGAAACGAGCCCUCGAAGGACUGAACGACUCCACCCUUGGUGAUCCCAAGCGACGCAUCAUGCUUGAGAGCAUUUCUCAGACGUUGCCCAUGUAA